rnacentral:lncRNA from 1 species
UCAACUGUUGCUGCAGCAAUUUCAGCCUUAGUGAUAUUCCUCUCAAUUUUCCUAUUGAUUUCAAGAAAUGGGCAAAAAAGGACAAUCAAGAAGAAGCAAGCUCAACGGGCACCGAGAGCAGGGGGAGCAUGGCCUUUGGUAGGCCACCUACAUCUAUUAGGAGGGCCAGAGCCAGCUCACAGAGUUUUGGGCGACAUGGCUGACAAAUAUGGACCAAUAUUCACUAUGAAGUUGGGAGUGAAACAGGCUUUAGUGGUGAGCAAUUGGGAAAUUGCUAAGGAGUGUUUUACCACAAAUGACAAAGCCUUUGCAAGUCGCCCCAAAACAAUGGCCAUGGAGCUUUUGGGGUACAACUUUUCGGUCAUAAGCUUCGCACCAUAUGGCAACUACUGGCGUCAGUCGCGUAAGAUAGCCAUAAUUGAGCUUCUAUCAAGUCAUCGCCUUGAGAAGCUCAAACACGUACGUGAAUCCGAAGUGAAGGCUUCAAUCCAGAGGUUAUACAAGAGUUGCAUAAGUAGCAGCAGUUCACGUAAAGUAGUUUUGGUGGAUAUGAUCCAUUGGCUCGAGGGCACAGUGCUUGACAUUGUUUUGAGAAUAAUUGCAGGAAAACGUCACAAUUCACAAUCACAAGAGGUUAAUGAUUGGCAACGGCAAAUAACGAAGUUCACUGCCUUGACUGGUCAGUUCGUGGUGUCUGAUGCGUUGCCUGUUUUUGAGAUGGCUAGAUAUCGGUGGGUAUGAGAGAUUAAUGAGCAAGACAGCUAAAUAUUUUGACAUUAUUUUGCAAGAAUGGUUGGAUGAGCACAAGAUGAAAAGAGUUUCUGGUGAAGUUAAGGGCGACGAGGAUUUCAUAUAUGUGUUGUUGUCGCUACUUGAUGAUAAUGCAGAGCAGCUUCCUGAUCGCGAUGCUGACACUGUCAUUAAAGCAAUAUGCGUGGUAUAUUAUAUGCUUAUGAAAACCUUAUGUGUGCGUGUGUGUGUUGUAUUGUUAUACCAAUGUCACAGAUUUCUUACUGCGUUUUAAUUUGCAGACUCUAAUCGUAGCAGCUGCAGACACCACAGUAGUUACAUUGACAUGGGCCAUUGCUUUACUUCUCAACAAUCGCGAUGUUUUGAAGAAGGCACAAGAUGAAUUAGACAUUCAGGUUGGUACUAAAAGGCAAGUGAAUGGGUCAGACAUGAGAAAUUUGGUUUACUUGCAGGCCAUUAUCAAGGAAACAAUGCGUUUAUACCCUGCUUUACCACUUCUACUGCCUCACGAGUCUAUAGAAGAAUGCACCGUCAAUGGUUACCAUGUCCCUGCAGGCACCCAGCUGUUUGUUAAUGCUUGGAAGAUUCAACGCGAUCCAUGUGUUUGGGAGGAGCCAUGUCAAUUUCAGCCAGAAAGAUUUCUUACAACGCAUAAGGAUAUUGAUGUUAGGGGACAAAAUUUGGAAUUGAUACCAUUUGGCAGCGGAAGAAGGAUGUGUCCUGCAGUGUCAUAUGGCCUUCAAGUUAUGCAACUAAUGCUUGCUUCAUUAGUGCAUGGGUUUGAUUUUACAACCCCAUCAGGUGAACCGGUUGACAUGGCUGAGACAAUGGGCCUAACCUCUGCUAAAGCUACUCCACUUGAAGUGCUUGUUAGUCCGCGCCUUUCUGCCUCUUCAUAUGGUUAAAUACUUAAAUUAGCCUCUGUACUUGUUAAUGCAAAUGAUUAAGUCGUAUUUUUCAACAAUUUAUUGAUUAGAUGCGUUUAUGUCUUUGAGGGUCACUCACCGUGCGUUUAGCACAUUGCAAUAAACUAAUGGUGAGUUUGCCAUGUUAUAUUACAUUGUAUUUAUCUAACAUUUGGUACAUGGGACUGGACUUUAUUAUAUUAAUUAUUUAUAACAUUUGGUACUACAAUAUACUAUAUUAAUUUUUUUUGUUCUAUCUUUGUCGCUACAUUGCAUUGCAUUUUUUUAAUUCUUUUGAAGAUUGCAUUGCAUAUUAAAAAAAGUACUAAAAAUAGAUGUUUUAAAUUUUAUAAUUUUUUAAAUUAAUUAUUUUUAGUAUAAAUAUAAAAAAAAUCACAAUUCUUUUAAACAUUUGUAAAAUUAAGAAAUUCUAAAAUUUUUGGUAAUAUAUAUGGAUAUGUAUAUAUAUGUAUGUAUGAAGAUCCAAGAAAAUAAUUCAAUCAAAUAACCUCUAAAAAUUAUCAUAACAUAAAUAAAUACAUAAAAUUCAUCUCAUAAUAAAGAUGACAACAAAAAAAUUUACAUAUUAUACAACAUACUAGAACCCUAAUCACUUAAUAAUAUGGAUUGAACAAUGCACCAAACUCAGUUCAAUUUAUAGCUGGAGGAUGUUCUAAUUCUGUUCCACUGGCGUUGUGUAAGGGCCCCAAUGGACGGGCCCUCUUCAUGAUGCUACAGACAUCACAAAAAUGUUAAAUUUAGCUGAGAAGUGGGGAUGGGUUGGUAAUGGCACAUGAACUGAUCUGGAAAAAAAUUUAUCGCGGAUGACAGAGGAAAGUGACCCCAGCUUGCCAUUUGGAUACAUCAAAUUGUAUGAGGUCCUUGACUUACGUUAAUUUCUUCAUUUUGUUAAAUAACAACCCUAAUCUUCUGUCAUUUGUUCUGCAUUGUUGUGUUGAAAUUCCAUUGAGUUGAUGAUUUUUCUAACUUCAUUAGAUGGCAAGCCGUGCAAAGAUGAAUUCUCCUUCCCUAAAGACCAUGAUGAGCGCCAUGCAAAAGGUAUCCUUGCAGUAGACAAUUUGAAGUGUUUAUUACAUUCCAAGUCUUUUGAGUAAUAUGAAGGAUUACAUCUUGGGAUAGCUGUAAGAGAGGGUAGCUAUUCUUCUGUCAACUGGGUGUAAAGAAAGAAUGCUCACAGCUCCAUUCAGCCUUUCCUCGUAUGACCAUGUCUAGUAUGACUAUUGCAGGAGGGAGACGUAGCAAGUAGGUCACACAUUGCUUCCAAUGCAAUCAAGAAAAGUUGUCCCAUGGUAGUAUGCAUCAGGAUCGCCAAGGAACCUCAGGGCUGCCAGAAAACAAAGGCUAAGUGAUGUUGGUAUUGAGAAGACUGGCUGCAGAAGCCGUGUCUAACUUUUCCGUAAGCAAUCAGAAUUUAGCGAUGCAACGGCGUCUCCGUAGACGGAAGGGUUGAUUGCGCAUCUGCACCCAAGGGAUUUACUUCUCGCCAACUGCAAGAUUUUGGACGGAAUGAAGGCCACAAUGAAUUAUGAAAAGGGUAGAUAAAAAUGAUUUUAAUUAUUGAUUCGUAAGAAACAGAUUCCCGAGUUUCAAUUAAAAAUUAUGAAUUGAUUUCAAUUUAGUUUCAGGCGAGGUAUUGCUUGGCGCAAUUAUCACGGAUUAACUAAUGUAACAUAAUUAUACUUAAAUUAAUUUUGUUUAAGUAAAUCAAUACAUUAUAGCUCAAAAUAUAGAUUUAGCAUUCUUUUCUAGCAUUUUUUUUCCUUGUAGUCUCUCUUAGUGCUCGAAUUCUAGUGAAAAAAAAAAUUGAUUUAAUUGUAAACAAAGUGAAACAAGUCUGCUUAAUUCAAAAAAAAUUCAAGACUCAAUCUAAGAAAACAUGUUAAUUCCAACGGCCCCUUAAAGGUGGAGAUUCCUAAUUUCACCUUAACCUUGGUGUGACAGUACGCUUGACUUAUUGACCUUAAAAGAGUAAACAACAAAAGCCCAUCAAAUUUAAUGGAACAAAUGUGAAAUAACCUUCUCAAUGUACUAAAAUGAAUUCCUACUACUACAAAAUUUUAUGAUUCUCAUCGAAAUUAAAAAUCCCAAAAUUUCAACAAUAAUUCUUAAAACUUUAAAAGAGAACGAAUGGGAAACAUUGAUACUUCCUACACAAAAUUCAAGUUCUUCAAGGUAUCAAUAAGCAUACAAGCAGACUAAAAAUCGGGUAGACUCUUUCGUGGACUCUUCAUGGACGAACUGGAACUCCAACCCCAAGGUCUGGGCGUGGCGCUUGACCAGGCUGACCAGGCUUUGGCAAAUCAUCCUGGAACAUAUAUAUAUAUAUAUAUAUAUAUAUAAAUGAAGAAAAUUUUCAAGUAUGCGGGCACAAACAAAGGCCAUGUAAAACUGACAAGCUUAACCAUUUUUCAAAUGCUAUAGAAUCACACAGCAAUUAUCCCAAGACCAAAAACAUCCUGUAAAACAAAGGGAGAAGCUACCAGACAGAUACAAACAGUGUCUCUUUUUUUCCUUUUUUUUUUUUUCUCCCUCUUGGGCUAACCCAGAGGUAUGUUUCUUCAACAGGCUGAGUCAGGAAAUUACUACUAGCAAGGAAAUCCUCGUGAUAAAACAGACUAGGUAAGUGGUCUAUCUGCCUACAUCUUUAACCCAUAAAUCACUCUAAAAACCAAUAUGAUCAGAGCACAUUAGCCAAAAUCCAGAUUUAAAAAUCUCAAUAGAAACAUGAAGAAAUACCCUGCGUCUCAUAAAACGCUUUGGUGGUUAACGGUUCCUGCGGUCAGUGCGUGAGUGAACCCUCACCACAUGUGAGUGAAUUGCACAGGAGACACAGUACUGCAUCUUUGCAUACAACUUAGGCAGAACAUAGUCUGCAUCAAAUACAAAAGAUUCCCAUUAUUUCCCAUUCAAACAAUACAUAAUUAAUUACAAAAUAAGAGAAAUAAUAACAUGUGUAGCAGAUAUUUACUGUCAUAGAUGCAGGGAUCCUGCAUGUCUCUAACAGCAGCUUGCUCAACAAUGUUCCUCGCAAGGAACCUCUUAAUGGCCUUGUCCUUUCAUCCACUCGCAACCUAAAAUAAAAAGUUUAAAAAAAAAAGUGUCAAAUUACAAUAAACAAAAGGCAUAUAAAUUAAUUUUUAAAUGCAAACUUAACAUCAUUACAACAACUCUAGUUUACAAAAUAAAUGCACACUUGUCAUGCCAUUAUUUACUUAUUGUAUGGGUGACAUGGUACAUCAGAUGUAUUCUAGAAUUUCACAAUAAAAAGAGUUUGAACAUCAUUACUCAAAUUAAUUAUUUUUUUAAUCUAAAAUUUAGUUGUUUUUUAUUAAAAAUAUUAACCGAUGAUUUCUAUUUACAGGAAUAAUAUUGAAGUCCCUCAAGUUUUUUUUUUUAAUUUUUAACUACUUGUAUCUUUUUCUAAAGCUUAUUAUACUCAUAAGAUAUCAACAAUUAAUGUUCAAAAUGACUUUCUCUAAAUAAUAAUAAUAAUAAUAAUAAUAAUAAUAAUAAUAAUAAUAAUAAUAAUAAUAAUAAUAAUAAUUAUUAUUAUUAUUAUUAUUAUUAUUAUUAUUUGUAAUAUAGUGGUAGGGACAAAAAUCUAAGGGUGAAAAAAAAAUGGUAUUUAAUAGAAUUUUUGUAAUGACAAAAAGUAAAUGGACCCAAGUGAUAGAACAAUAUAAUUGAUGGACAAAAGAUCAAUUUUUAUUUGUGUUGCUGACACCAUAGUUUUGUCAUCAUCCCAUACAAUUGUCCAUAAUUAAAAUAAAGCAUGUUUUAUGUUCUGUGGCUGAUAUUUAGGGCAAAUGAAUUUUACCUAGUCCUCCCAUAAAAAUAUCAUAUCCCAGCAUUAUCUCCAACCAUUUUAAAGGUUGAAAUUACAAGAGAAGUCGUAUCUAUGUUUUAUUACAAUUGUUUGGCAACCACCAAAUUGGCCGUAUAAAGCCAUUGAUGAAUCAGAAAAAGAUACCAUUGUCGAAAACAUGGCCAUUGUGGUCCCUGAUGUAUAAAACUGACCAUAGGAUUAGCAAAGGUUUGUCAAUGAGCAGAACUUACGUUCACGUCAUGCACACUUAAAUGUUAUCUAUAUACUGUAUAGACAUUGCUCUGAACUAAACUCUUGAUUCAGAGUCCCCGAGUCGGUUGCAAAGGAAUGGCCAUGAAUAAUCUUUCAACAGAAUCGACUGCUGCUGUAGCAAUUUCAGCCUUAGUGAUAUUCCUCUCAAUUUUCCUCUUGAUUUCAAGAAAUGGGCAAAAAAGGACACUCAAGAAUAAGCAAGCUCAACAAGCACCGGUAGCAGGGGGAGCAUGGCCUUUGAUAGGCCACCUACAUCUCUUACGAGGGCCAGAGCCAGCUCACAGAGUUUUGGGCAACAUGGCUGACAAGUAUGGAACAAUAUUCACUAUGAAGUUGGGGGUGAAACAUGCUUUAGUGGUGAGCAACUGGGAAAUUGCUAAGGAGUGUUUUACCACAAAUGACAAAGCUUUUGCAGGUCGCCCCAAAACAAUGGCCAUAGAGCUUAUGGGGUACAACUUUUUGGUCAUAGGCUUCGCACCAUAUGGCAAGUACUGGCGUCAGUCACGUAAGAUAGUGACAAUUGAGCUUCUGUCAAAUUGUCGCCUUGAGAAGCUCAAACACGUACGUGAAUCUGAAGUGAAGGCUUCAAUCCAUAGGUUAUACAGGAAUUGCAUAAGUAGCAGCAGUUCACGUAAAGUAGUUUUGGUGGAGAUGAUCCAUUGGCUCGAGGGCACAGUACUUGACAUUAUUUUGAGAAUAAUUGCCGGAAAACGUUACACUUCACAAUCACAAGAGGUUAAUGAUUGGCAACAGCAAAUAACAAAGAUCGCUGCCUUGUCUGGUCAGUUCGUGGUGUCCGAUGCGUUGCCCUUUCUGAGACGGUUAGAUAUCGGUGGAUAUGAGAGAUUAAUGAGCAAGACAGCUAAAUAUUUUGACAUUAUUUUACAAGAAUGGUUGGAUGAGCACAAGAUGAAAAGAGAUUCUGGUGAAGUCAAGGGCGACGAGGAUUUCAUAUAUGUGUUGUUGUCCCUACUUGAUGAUAAUGCAGAGCAGCUUCCCGAUCGCGAAGCUGACACUGUCAUUAAAGCAAUCUGCUUGGUAUAAUAUAUCCUAAUGAAAAGCUUGUGGUGUGUUUGUGUUUGUAUUGUUAUAUGAAUGUCACAGACUCACAGAUUUCUUACUGCUUUUAAUUUGCAGAAUCUAAUCGUAGCGGGUACAGACACCACAGUAGUUACAUUGACAUGGGCUAUUGCUUUACUUCUCAACAAUCCCGAUGUUCUGAAGAAGGCACAAGACGAAUUAGACAUUCAGGUUGGCACUGAAAGGCAAGUGAAUGAAUCAGACAUGAGGAAUUUGGUUUACUUGCAGGCCAUUAUCAAGGAAACAAUGCGUUUAUACCCUGCUGGACCACUUUUACUACCUCACGAGUCUAUAGAAGAAUGCAUCGUCAAUGGUUACCACGUCCCUGCAGGCACCCAACUGUUUGUUAACGCCUGGAAGAUUCAACGCGAUCCAUGUGUUUGGGAGGAGCCAUGUCAAUUUCAGCCAGAAAGAUUUCUUACUAGGCAUAAGGAUAUUGAUGUUGGGGGACAAGAUUUUGAAUUGAUACCAUUUGGGAGUGGAAGAAGAAUGUGUCCUGCAGUGUCACUAGGCCUUCAAGUUAUGCAACUAACGCUUGCUUCAUUAGUGCAUGGGUUUGAUUUUACAACCCCAUCAGAUGAACCGGUUGACAUGGGAGAGGCAAUGGGCCUAACCAUUGCUAAGGCUACUCCGCUUGAAGUGCUUGUUAGUCCACGCCUUUCUGCUUCUUUAUAUGGUUAAAAUUAGCUUGUGUACUUGUUAAUGCAAAUGAUUAAGUUGUACUUGUCAACAACUUAGUGAUAAGGUGCGUUUAUAUCAUUGGGUGUCAUCACUGUGCGUUUAGCACACUGCAUUAAAGGUGAGUUUGGCAUAUUACACUACAUUGUAUUAUUUAACGUUUAGUAAGUUGUUAUUGACUGUAUUAUAUUAACAUUAUAUAUAUUAUGUUAAUAGUGUAUAAUAUUUGGUAUUGUUUUGUACUUUAUUAAUUUUUAUGUAUCCUAUAUUUUGUGUUGCAUUGCAUUGCAUUAUAUUAAUUAUGUAUCCUAUAUUUUGGUUGCAUUGCAUUGCAUUAUAUUAAUUCUUUUGGUGAAAAUUUUAAAUUACAAGUUGGGAAAAAAUUAAUUAGUACUUAGAAAAAUGAUAAAAUAGAUGUUUUGAAUUUUAUAUUUUUUACAUAAAUUAUUUUUAGUAUAAGUGUAAAACAUAUCAUAAUUCUUUUGAACAUAUGUAAAAUUAAGAAAUUCUAAAAUUUUUGGUGUGUGUGUGUGUAUGAGCAGUUCUCAAAUAUUUAUCUUGUGAAAUAAAGAUCCAAGAAAAUAAUUCAAUCAAAUAACCUUUAAAAAUUAUCAUAACAUAAAUAAAUAGAUAAAGCCAUCUCAUAAUAAAGAUCACAACAACAAAAAUUUACAAAUACCACAACAUACUAGAACCCUAAUCACUUAUGAGAAUGAGGUGAAAUGGGAAUGGGGAACGGGAAUCAUGAUAUAUUGUUUAUUUGAGACAAGAAUCGGAAUCGCAAUGGGUUGAAAUCUCAUUGAUAUGUUUACAUUUUCUCUUGGAAUCAGAAUCAUAAUAAGUUGAAUUGUUUCAAGUUACUAAAGUACCCUUAGUUAAUUAUAAUAAUAACUAUUAUUAUUAUUAUUAUGAUAAUGAUUAUUAUUAUUAAUAAUAAACUUUUGUUAAUAUAUUAAUUAAUUAUAUUCAUAUGUUGUUAGUAUAUUAAUUAAUUAUAAUUUAUCAUUAAUAAUAAUAAUAAUAAUAAUAAUAAUAAUAAUAAUAAUAAUAAUAAUAAUCAAAAUAAAAAAUCAUCAUCAUCAACAAAAUAAUCCAUUUCCAAAAUAAUAAUAAUAAUAAUAAUAAUAAUAAUCAUCAAAUUAAUCCAUUUCCCAAAUAAUCAUUGUCAACAAAAAUAAUCCAUUUCCCAAAAACAAAUUAUAGCAAUAAUCAAAAUCGAAAUUGUCAUCGUCAUCAACAACAACGGCAACAACAAUCAUCGUCGUUAGCAGCAGCAACAUCAUCAGAUCAGAACUGUCGCCAUUAGAGACGAAAUCUGAGAUGAAAUGAGAUGGGGGCGAAAUCGAGACAACGACGAAAUUGACACGGCCCAACGGAUAUGAAAGGGGUGGGUGUUUGGAUCGGGUUGACCCGAUCCAAACCAAACUCGAAAUUAAUUUCGAGUUCGGUUCGGUUCGAGUUGAAACUUACAACUCGUUUGGGUUAAAAAUCUAAACCUGAUCGGGUUGUAUUUCGGUUCGGGUUUAACCCGAACCGAAUAAUCAACCUGAUUGGGUCAAAAAAAUUAAAAAAACAAAGUUUAAAACCCGAAUCGAAAUACAACCCGAUUGUGUCAAAAAAAUUAAAAAAAAAAGUUUAAAAACAUAAAUAUAAACCUAACCCUAACCUAACAACUCCCAAACACACACUUCUCACUUUCUGAGCCGCCACUUGACUUCUCCGCUUCUUCUUCUUCUUUUCCUUUUCUUCCUCCACUGACAAAUAUCAUCUUCUUCUUUUCUUUUUCUUCUUCAUUUCUUCUUCUUCUUUCCUUACACGCUGCCAGACAUCUUCUUCUUCUUCUUCUUUCCUUCGGUUGCUGCCAAGCAUCUUUUUCUUCUUCUUAUUCUUAUUUUCUUCCUCCAUUGCCAAAUAAUUCUUCUGCUUUUUUUUUUAUCUCCAUUAAUUAAUUGUUUAAUAAUUUAUUUUUUAAUUGUUAGUUAAUUUCUUAGUUUUCUUUUGUUAAUUUUUUUUGUUAAAUGUUAAAUUUAGAAUUCUAUACAUUAAUCAGUUAAUUUUUAAAUAAGAUUAUAGGAAAUUUGUGUGAUAUUUAGUUAAUUUUUUCUGUUUUUGGAUGAGAUAAAAUUAUGGUUACAUAAUAUAAACGAACUCGAAUUUAUAACCCAAACCGAACCAAAUCGAAUUAAAUUCGGUUUGGUUUGGUUCGGGUUUGUAGUUUGAACCCGAUUGAGUUAAAUCUUCCAAACCGAAUGGGUUGAAACCCAAACCGAAACCCGAACAAGCUGAACUGAAAUCCGAUUUGCCCACCCCUAUAUGUAUGAAUGGCAAAAGGUCGGGUCGGGCUCGGGCUUGGCCAAGCCUUACCCGACCCGAUCAAAAAAAUUUAAAACCCAACCCUAAAAAAACUCGAAUAUUAUUUAGUUAGGGUCGGGCCCGGCUAGGGAUGGUAAUUUUUCCCGUUGGGAUGGGAUCCUGCGGGAUCCCGUCCCGUUUAGGAUGGGAUUGAGACAUAUUUUUUCAUCCCAAAUUAAAAUGGGAUGGGAUAAGGAUAAAAAUAAAUCCCGCUUUUAUUUAUGGGACGGGAGGAGGACCAAUUAUAAAAUCCCAUCUUAUCCUGUAUAUCCCGUUAAUAUUAUAAUUUAAAAUAAAAAGUGAAAAAGUCACAAAUAAAAUUAAUAAUUUAUAGCAAUAAUUACCCUUAAAAACUCAACCAAUUUCCUAAAUUAACACUGCACCCUAAGUGUUGACCGCCCAACGCCCCUUGCCCUCACCACAAAAAUUUUUACUCCGCCACAAAAGUUCCCAAGCAGCCACCCACGACUUGCCCACUACGCCUCUACUAGCAAUUCAUCCACAAAAUUCUCGCUUUUCAGCCUCCACACCGUAAGUUAACAUUCAUAAUUUGGCUUUUUUUGUUUUUAUUGUUCACAGUUUUGUGCUCUUUUCAUAUAAUUGAUAUUUGUUAAAUAUUAUUAUAUUAUAUACGGCAAUCUAGUUGAAGUUGUUAUAUUAUAAUGAUUAUUAUAUUUGUUUAAGUAGUAUUGAGUUUUAAAAUAAAAGUUCUUGUGGUCCCAUAUUAUUAUUACUUUUGUUUUAUAUGGUUUGAUGUUUGUAAAAGGUUAAUUUAUAUUUAAUUCAUUUAUUUGAGUUGUGGAUUGUUGUUUUCUUUUUGCUUUAAAGGAUGGCUUCUCCUCCAGUAGUGGACAAUGAAAGUUUAGAUAAUGAUGAUGUGCAUGUUGUUGAAGAAAACGCCAAAGACAAUGAUUUAACAUCAAGAUUAAGAUCAGUGGUCUGGAAACAUUUUGAAAGAAGAUAAAAAAUGGAAAAAUAAGAGCCUUUUGUAAGCACUGCAAUAAAGACUAUGUUGGAGGUCCUAGAGAUGGAACAAGACACUUGAACGAUCACAUGAAAAUAUGCCCUCGGCGUAAUCAAAUUGAGAUAACACAUUAUUCAAAGAAGUUAAAAACAGUUGAGGAUGAUCAGGGAAAUGUGAAGGUAGAGACUUAUUCUUUGAUCCUGAUGUCACUAGGGGAUUGAUUGCACGUAUGAUCAUUAUGCAUGAGUACCCAUUAAGUUGCGUUGAGCAUGAAUGGUUUAGAAAAGUGUUGUCUUCUUUAAACCCAAUGUGGAAAAACGUAUCUCGCAAUACUAUAAAAAGUGAUAUUAUGGAGCCAUAUGAGAUGGAAAAGGUUAAGGUUGUGAGUUUAAUAGAGAGUAACAGUAGUAAAGUUGCAAUCACAACCGACAUGUGGACUUGUGGCUCCCAAACAAAAGGGUACAUGGCUAUUACAACACCUUUAUUGAUGAUUCUUGGACCUUACGGAGUCAAAUUUUGAGGUACUAUGUUUAAUUCUAAUUAACAUUGAAAUAUUUAGUGCAUUAUAUUUAUUUAUUGAAUAUAUUUGUAAUUAAUUGUAUUUUUUCUAUGUAGGUUUAUUCAUGUGCAAGCUCGACAUACUUCUCAAGUACUUUGUGAUAUACUAUUGAGAUGUUUAAUGGAUCUUAAUCUUGAGCGUAAGUUAUCUGCAUUAACUGUUGAUAAUUGCACUACUAAUGAUCGAAUGAUUCAACUUCUACUAGAUAAACUUGAUAAAAAUGAUUUUCUUAUGGGUGGCAAGUUGUUUCAUAUGCGAUGUACUGCUCACAUUUUAAAUUUGAUUGUCAAAGAGGGGUUAAGUGUUAUUAGUGAUGGUGUUGCUAAAAUUCGUGCUAGUGUUGCAUUUUGGACAGUUACCCCUCAAAGAAGGGAAAAAAUUAAAGAGAUUUCUCGUAGGUUGAAUAUUCCAUGUAGUAAGGAGUUAGUUCUUGAUUGCAUCACUAGAUGGAACUCUACUUAUCUCAUGAUUUCUGUUGCCUUGGAGUAUAAAAAUGUCUUUUAUAGAUUGCAUCAAUUGGAGGCACAAUAUAGGUGUUUGCCAAGUGAAAGUGAAUGGGAGUUAGCUCGUAUAUUGUCAAAUAAUUUGAAAUCAUUUUAUAAUGUGACUGAGGUAUUUUCUGGAACUAAGUACCCCACAUCCAAUUUGUUUUUCAUUCAUAUUUGUGAGAUUAGAUUAUCAUUAGGUAGUUGGCUUACAUGUGAGCAUGAUGAAGUUAGACAAAUGGCAACUAACAUGAUUGGCAAAUUUGAAAAAUAUUGGAAAGAUGUUAAUGGGGUAUUAACCGUGGCAACAAUGUUGGAUCCUAGAUAUAAAAUGAAAUUGAUUGAGUUCUACUUUCCAUUGUUAUAUGGUGAUGAAUCAAAUAUUCAUAUUGAGAGAGUUCAUAUGCUUUUAAAGGAAUUAAUAAAGAAGUAUGAAUUUAAGGCCAAAUUAUCUGUAAGCGGUCCUAGCGCGGGUGCUUUUAGUUCUAGUAUAGGAGAGUCCUCAGUCGUUAUGUCUCAUGUUGAGGAACAACUUUCAAGUAGGUAUGAUGAUUUUUUGAAAGUCAAUAUGGUUGAGAACCGUAAGACUGAGCUUGAGUCAUAUUUAAGUGAAUAUGUGUUGAUUAUCAAGGACAAAAAUUUUGAUAUUUUGGGGUGGUGGAAAAUAAAUGCAAUACAAUAUCCUUUGUUAUCUACUAUUGCUAGUGAUAUACUAGCAAUCCCAGUGUCAACAGUUGCUUUUGAGUCAGCUUUUAGCACAUGUGGUAGAGUAGUUAGCCCACAUCGUAAUAGACUACACUCACAAACAGUGGAGGCAUUGAUGUGCACUCAAAGUUGGUUGAAUGCUUACACAAGAGGUAAUUUAUUUUAUUGUAAUUUAUGCAUAUUUUAAAUGUUCAAACUUUUUUUAUUUUCUUUUCUAGUUUUUAAUUUUUUUUUUUUUUUGUUUUCUAAGACAAUGGGCAUACAACUUCUAGUGAAAAUCCUACAUUUGCAGAUGAAGAAAAAGUUGAUGCAGAGAUUGAAGAGGUAACUGAUUUUAUUAAUUUUGAACAUUAAUGAUUAAUUAUUAUGUAAUUAUCAAAAUAUUAGUCUUACUCUAACCUCUCUUUAUUAAAUUCCUGUAGGUUUAUACAGAAAUUUGAAAGUGCGGUCUUGAAAGUGUGGUUAGAGUAUGAAGUUUUCUUGUCUAAUGAAGUGGGAACUGGAAUUGAAGUCAACUUUUGGAAGAUUAUGUUAAUUUUUAACUUUUGCUUGAACUUUGGAACUUAGAUUGAUUUGGAUUAGCUUCAGAACUUUGAAUUUUUUGUUUCUUUAUUUGCUAUAUAUUGAUUUAUGACGAUCCUUAAAAGAAAAAAAUUAAAAUUUAUUUAUUUACAUUUGGGACUAUUUAAGAUAAUGGGAUGGGACGGGAUAUUUAAUGGGACAUGAUUGGAAUAAAUUUUUGUCCCAAAAAAAAUAAAGGGACGGGAAUGUGACUUUUUUUAGUCCCAAAUCAAUAUACGGGACAGGACUGGGAUUGACAAAUCCCGUCCCAUCCCAUCCCAUUGCCAACCCUAGGCCCGGCCCAACCCAACCCGAAUCGUUUCAACAUCGGGUCGGGCCCAACCCGACCCUACCGAAAUAGUUAACCCUCCCAUUUCCCACCACCAUUUCAACAAAUUCGGCAAUUUCUCAACCAUUUCAAACACAAUUCAAUUCCACUUUCCACAACCAUUUCAACCCCACACACAAAUCAAUUCCAAAAUCCAACAUGAAAAACACACAAUGUAAUUCCACAACCAUUUUAGCCAUACACAAUUCAAUUUAACAAUCCAACAUAAAAAAUAAAAAAUAAAAAACUCAUGUCUUAUACAAAUAAAAACACACAAUUUAGUUCCACAACCCAACAUUAAAAAAAAUGUAUUAUACAAAUAAAAAAAACUCAUGUCUUAUACAAAUAAAAACUCAUAAUUCAUAAAAACACACAAUUUAGUUUUUUUUUAAUAGGGUCGGGUCAGGUCAGCUUUAAGCCCGACUCUGACCCGAAAUUUGUUCGGGCCUUAAACUUUUGACCAUAACCCGACCCUAACCUCAAAAAUUCGGGUCAAAUCCCUAAAAAUUAGAGCAGGUCGAUCGGCCCAAAAAUAAGGUCGGGCUAAAUUGCCAAGCCUACCUACAUAAAACUGGCAACCAGCAGCUGUCCACAGCCGAUGGACCACGAUGGCAAAGAUGGUGAUGGCCGUGAUGGCGAUGGAAGCACUCCAAUGGCAUUCGAUUGGGAGGCACAGGCAAGAGAGUUUAAGUUUUAGGGAUUUUUUUAUUUUUCGCUUUUUAUAUUUUUUUAAUCUAAAGCGGGGGUAUUUUUGGAAUAAUAAAAAAUUAAUGCGGGUAAAAUGGAAAAUGUUGGGAAUGGGAAUCAGAUUCCUAUACUUAUUCUCAAAUUGCUGUGGGAUCCACCAAAAUGAAUCUCAUUUCGGAUUCUUUCCUAGUCCAUUUUUUUUCUCUCUUAAUCUCUCUCAGUAUUUCAAUUCUAGUUUUAAAAAAAAUUGACUUAAUGGUAAACAAAGUGAAACAAGUCUGCCUAAAUUAUUAACAUUAAAAUUCAAAAAAUUCAAGAGUCAAGACUACUCAUUUUAGAGGCUAGUAGAGAAAAAAGAUUUGAAGAGGAUUCACGUUCAAAAAUAUAAAUGAUACAUCAUACAAGAUCCUUAAACAUUAUAUGAUAUGUCAUUACAUUUAUAAAUGAAGAGUCAUUCAAUUUUCACUAUGGAGUAAAGAUUAUACAAAAUGUUAUCUGCCAUAAAACUAUAAACGACAUAUAUGAAUUUCAGACAAGUAAUUUUACUCCAAGUAAGAAUCAACAACAUUUUACCUAUUUAGUAUCUUAAUUUCUUUUGAAUUCCAACUGAAGUAACAUUUAUUUAUUAAAUGGUAAAUUAAAAAUUUCAUGAGUUAUGAAGUUCAUCAUAAUGAGUCAUAUAAUAUUGAGAGUCAAGUUGAAACUCAAAGAUUAAAACUCCUAAAUUAGCUAACAUAAAAUUUAGAAACUCAUUAAAUAUGUAUAAAUGUUUAUAAUUAACUUAUUUUGCAGCUAAUUUUUCCAACUUAAAAACAUGUUAAUUCCAAAGGUCCCUUAAGAUGAAGAUUCCUAAUUUCACCUUAACCUUGGUAUGACAAUAAGCUUGACUUGAUAACCUUAAAAGGGUAAACUAGAGCCUAUAAAACUUAAUGGAACAAGUGUGAAAUACCUUCUCAAUAUACUGAAAUGAAUUUCCUACCACUACAAAAUUUUAUAAUUCUCAUUGAAAUUAAAAAUCCCAAAAAUUUAACAAUAAUUCUUAAGACUUUGAAAACGAAUGAGCGGGAAACACUGAAACUUCAUACACAAAAUUCAAGUGCUUGUAGGUAUCUAAAAGUAUAAUAGCAGAUUAAGAAUGGAAUAGACUUCAUGGGCGAACUGGAACUCCGGUGGCUGGGCGUGGCGCUUGACCAGGCUGACCAGGCUUUGGCAAAUCAUCCUGAAAGAAAAGGAAAAAAAGAAAAAGAAAACAAAAUAUAAGAGCCAAUGAAGAAAAUUUUCAAGUACGCGAGCACAAACGAAGACCAUAUAAAACUGACAAGCUUAACCAUUUUUCAAAUGCUACAGAAAUCACACAGCAACUAUCCCAAGACCAAAAACAUCCUCAAUUUGGGCUUUUACCACACAGAGACAUAACACUGUCUCCUUUUUUUCCCUUCCCCCCGCCCCCUCCCUCCCUCCCUCUUAGGCUAACCCAGAAGUAAGCUUUUUUAACAGGCUGAAUGAGGAUAUUACUACUGGCAAGGAAAUCCUUGUGAUAAAAUAGACUAGGUAAGUGGUCUAUCUGCCUACAUCUAUAAACCAUAAAUCAUUCUAAAAAUCAAUAUGAACAGAGAGCAUUAGCCAAAACCCUGAUUAAAAAAUCUCAAUAGAAACAUGAAAAAGAUACCCUGCGUCUCAUAAAACGCUUUGGUGGUUCACGGUUCCUGCGGUCAGUGCGCGAGCGAACCCUCACCACAUGCGAGUGAAUUGCACAGGAGACACAGUACUGCAUCUUUGCAUACAACUUAGGCAGAACAUAGUCUGCAUCAAAUAUAAAAGAUUCCCAUUAUUUCCCAUUCAAACAAUACAUAAUUAAUUACAAAAUAAGAGAAAUAAUAACAUGUGUAGUAGAUAUUUACUAUCAUAGAUGCAGGCAUCCUGCACGUCUCUGACAGCAGCUUGCUCAACAAUGUUCCUCACAAGGAACCUCUUGAUGGCCUUGUCCUUUUCAUCCAUUCACAACCCAAAAUUUAAAAAAAAAAAAAAAAAUUGUGUCAAACUACAACAAACAAAAGGCAUAUAAAUUAAUUUUUAAAUGCAAACUUAACAUCAUUAAUUUUUAGUAACUUGGAAGUGAGAAGACGGAAUAAUUAAAUAAUAUUUGUGUUAUAAGAUAUGAUAAAAAUCAGAUGUCUAAUUGUAACUGGUAUUCCUAACCAUCGUGGUAGCGGGGAUGCGCGGAUACCAAUAAACAACUCUAGUCUAGUCUAACUGUAUGAUUUGACCAAUACAUCCGCAAAAUUUAUCAUGACACGAUUUUACAAAAAUAUGGAAGAACUGAAAAAAUGAAUCUUCUUUCCCGUAAUGCCACACAAUUGCCUCAUUUGGCAGGGAAAAAUUCUCAAUGUUGUUCAUUUUUAUCAAAAUAAACAAAAAAAAAAAGGGAAUCAUAUAAUACUAAUAAUAAAAAAACAGAUACAAUUUUAAUUAAUGAAAGCGAUACAAAAAUAAAAACAAAAGUGUAUACUUUGGGGCAGCAUUUGCCGUUCCGACGCUUGAAGGUCUGCCACAGAAAAAAAUAAAUAUAAUAAAUCAAAUUUAUAUUAAACAAAAAAAAAUUCUUCUUUUUUCAAUAAUAAUAUUUUUGGAAAUCAGAAAGAUAAAACAUUUUCGCAAACCAUUCUGUUUUCUUCAAGGGAUGAUCUCCCCUUUCCAAUUUUUGACAACCACGCCUAACCCAAUCAUCAUUUCUUCUGAAGUUGACAUUGCUGCAAGAGUAAAAAAGAAUGUUGAAAUUGAAUUAUUAAUUUGGAAGAAUAUCAUGACGCAAUUAAACAAAAACUGAAUAUUUUAUCUUUCCUACUCUCUCAAUAAUUUUGACUGCAUACUUUUUCUGAAAAAAAAAACAAAAAAAACUCAUAUCUAGAUUCAGUCACAAAGCCAAAUCUCUCUAAUCAUACGUCUAUAUUAAAAAACACAAAUAAGAGAUUCCAAGAACUUGUUAACACCCUUUUGGAAUAAUUGAUUCUAAGGGUGAAAAAAAAAAUUGGUAUUUAAUAGAAUUUUCGUAAUGACAAAAAGUAAAUGGACCCAAGUGAUAAAACAAUAUAAUUGAUGGACAAAAGAUCAUUUUUCAUUUGUGUUGCCGACACCGUAGUUUGGUUUACGCUUCCCGACCCAUGAUAUUCAAGUCCAGUUACCUUUGUCAUCCCAUAAAAUUGUCCAUAAUUAAAAUAAGGCAUGUUUUAUAUUCUGUGGCUAAUAUUUAGAGCAAAUGAAUUUUCCAAGUCCUCCCAUAAAAAUAUCAUAUCCCAACAUAAUCUUCAACCAUUUUAAUGGUUAAAAUUACAAGAGAAGUCGUAUCUAUGUUUUAUCACAAUUGUUUGGCAACCACCAAAUUGGCCGUAUAAAGCCAUUGAUGAAUCAGAAAAAGAUACCAUUGUCGAAAACUUGGCCAUUGUGGUCCCUGAUGUAUAAAACUGACCAUAGGAUUAGCAAAGGUUUGUCAAUGAGCAGAACUUACGUUCACGUCAAGCACACUUAAAUGUUAUCUAUAUACUGUAUAGACAUUGCUCUGAACUAAACUCUUGAUUCAGAGUCCCCGAGUCGGCUGCAAAGGAAUGGCCAUGAAUAAUCUUUCAACAGAAUCGACUGCUGCUGUAGCAAUUUCAGCCUUAGUGAUAUUCCUCUCAAUUUUCCUCUUGAUUUCAAGAAAUGGGCAAAAAAGGACACUCAAGAAUAAGCAAGCUCAACAAGCACCGGUAGCAGGGGGAGCAUGGCCUUUGAUAGGCCACCUACAUCUCUUACGAGGGCCAGAGCCAGCUCACAGAGUUUUGGGCAACCUGGCUGACAAAUAUGGAACAAUAUUCACUAUGAAGUUGGGGGUGAAACAUGCUUUAGUGGUGAGCAACUGGGAAAUUGCUAAGGAGUGUUUUACCACAAAUGACAAAGCUUUUGCAAGUCGCCCCAAAACAAUGGCCGUAGAGCUUAUGGGGUACAACUUUUUGGUCAUAGGCUUCGCACCAUAUGGCAAGUACUGGCGUCAGUCACGUAAGAUAGUGACAAUUGAGCUUCUGUCAAAUUGUCGCCUUGAGAAUCUGAAGUGAAGGCUUCAAUCCAGAGGUUAUACAAGAAUUGCAUAAGUAGCAGCAGUUCACGUAAAGUAGUUUCCGUGGAGAUGAUCCAUUGGCUCGAGGGCACAGUACUUGACAUUAUUUUGAGAAUAAUUGCCGGAAAACGUCACACUUCACAAUCAGAAGAGGCUAAUGAUUGGCAACGGCAAAUAACAAAGAUCGCUGCCUUGUCUGGUCAGUUCGUGGUGUCCGAUGCGUUGCCCUUUCUGAGACGGUUAGAAAUCGGUGGAUAUGAGAGAUUAAUGAGCAUGACAGCUAAAUAUUGCGACAUCAUUUUGCAAGAAUGGGUGGAUGAGCACAAGAUGAAAAGAGUUUCUGGUGAAGUUAAGGGCGACGAGGAUUUCAUAUAUGUGUUGUUGUCCCUACUUGAUGAUAAUGCAGAGCAGCUUCCGGAUUGCGAAGCUGACACUGUCAUUAAAGCAAUCUGCUUGGUAUAAUAUAUCCUUAUGAAAUGCUUGUGGUGUGUUUGUGUUUGCAUUGUAACAUGAAUGUCACAGAUUUCUUAUUGCUUUUAAUUUGCAGACUCUAAUCGUAGCGGCUGCAGAGACCACAGUAGUUACAUUGACAUGGGCUAUUGCUUUACUUCUCAACAAUCCCGAGGUUCUGAAGAAGGCACAAGAUGAAUUAGACAUUCAGGUUGGUACUGAAAGGCCAGUGAAUGAAUCAGACACGAUAAAUUUGGUUUACUUGCAGGCCAUUAUCAAGGAAACGAUGCGUUUAUACCCUGCUGCACCACUAUUAGUACCUCACGAGUCUAUAGAAGAAUGCGUCGUCAAUGGUUACCAUGUCCCCGCAGGCACCCAACUGUUUGUUAACGCUUGGAAGAUUCAACGCGACCCAAGUGUAUGGGAGGAGCCAUGUCAGUUUCAGCCAGAAAGAUUUCUUACGAGGUAUAAGGAUAUUGAUGUCAGGGGGCAAAAUUUUGAAUUGAUACCAUUUGGCAGUGGAAGACGAAUGUGUCCUGCAGUGUCAUCAGGCCUCCAAGUUGUGCAACUAACGCUUGCUUCAUUAGUGCAUGCGUUUGAUUUUACAACCCCAUCAGAUGAACCGGUUGACAUGGGAGAGGCAAUGGGCCUAACCAUUGCUAAAGCUACACCACUUGAAGUGAUUCUUACUCCACGCCUUUCUGCUUGUUUAUAUGGUUAAAAUUAGCUUGUGUACUUGUUAAGGCAAAAAUAAGUUGUACUUUUGAACGACUUAGUGAUAAGGUGCGUUUAUAUCAAUGGGUGUCAUCACCGUGCGUUUAUCACGUUGCAUUAUAUUAAAGGUGAGUUUGACAUAUCAUAUUACAUUGUAUUAUUUUACGUUUAGUAAGUUGUUUUUUAUUGUAUUAUGUUAACAUUAUAUUAUAUUAAUAUUGUAUAAUAUUUGAUACUAUAUUGGACUAUAUUAAUUUUUAUUUAUCUUAUGUUUGGUGUUGCAUUGCAUUGCAUUACAUUAUAUUAAUUAUUUUGGUGAAAAAUUUAGAUUAAAAGUUGGGAAAAAAUAUUAAUUAGCACUUAGAAAAAAUGAUAAAAUAGAUAUUGUAAAUUUUAUAAUUUUUUACAUCAAUUAUAUUUUAGUAUAAAUGUAAAAGAUAUCACAAUUCUUUUGAACAUAUGUAAAAUUAAAAAAUUCUAGCCGUUCUCAAAUAUAUAUCUUGUGAAAUAAAGAUCAAAGAAAAUAAUUCAAUCAAAUAAUCUCUAAAAAUUAUCAUAACAUAAAUAAAUAGAUAAAAGCCAUCUCAUGAUAAAGAUGACAACAAAAGCAUUUGCAUAUACCACAACAAACUAGAACCCUAAUCACUAAAUAAAAUGGAUAGAACAAUGCACCAAACUGAGUUCAAUUUAUAGCUGGAGGACGUUCUAAUUCUGUUGGUUCUUCCAGGGCUCUGGCUCACUGGUGGUGCCAUAAGCCCCUAUGGACGGGCCCUCUUCAUGAUGUUACACACAUCACAGAAAUUAAAUUCAGCUGAGAAGUGGGAUGGGUUGGUAAUGGCACAUGAACUGAUCUGGGAAAAAUUUUAUCACGGAUGAUAGAUGAAAGUGACCCCAGAUUGCCAUUUGGAUACAUCAAACUGGAUGAGGUCCUUGACUUAAGUUAAUUUCUUCGGUUUGUUAAAUGACAAUCCUAUUCUUCUGUCAUUUAUUCUGCAUUGUUGUGUUGAAAUUCCAUGUAGUUGGUGAUUUUUCUAACUUCAUUAGAUGGCAAGCAGUGCAAGGAUGAAUUCUCCUUCCCUAGAGACCAUGAUGAGCGCCAUGCAAAAGGUAUUCUUGCAGUAGACUCUUUAAAGUGUUUAUUACAUACCAAGCCUUUGUGUCAUAUGAAGGAUUGACAUCUUGGGAAAGCUGUAAAAAAAGGCAGCUAUUCUUCCCUCAACUGGGUAUAAAGAAAGGAUGUCCACAGCUCCAUUCUGCAUUUCCUUGUAUGACCAUGCCUAGUGACUAUUGCAGGAGGGAUGCGUAGCAAGUAGGUCACACAUUGCUUCCAAUGCAAUCAAGACAAAUUGUCCCAUGGUAGUAUGCAUCAGGAUCGCCAAGGAACUUCAGGGCUGCCAGAAAACAUAGGCUAAGUGAUGUUGGUAUGGACAAGACUGGUAGCAGAAGCCAUGCCUAGCUUUUCCGGAAGCAAUCAGAAUUUAGCGAUGUAACUGCGUCUCCGUAGACAGGAGUUGAUUGCCCAUAUGCACCCAAGGGAUUUUUUUUUUUUUUGGCCAACUGCAAGAUUUUGAACGAACGGAACGAAGGCCGCAAUGAAUUAUGAAAAGGGUGGAUUAAAAUGAUUUUAAUUAUAUUGACUUGGAAGAAACCGAUUCCUGAGUUUCAGUAAAAAAUUAUGAAUUGAUUUUAAUAUAGUUUCAUACAUGGUAUACUUUGACGCAAUUAUCACCGAUUAACUAAUAUAACAUAAUUAAAUUUAAAUUCAUUUUGUUUAAAUAAAUCAAUACACAUCAUAGCUGAAAAUAUAGACUUAGGAUUCUUUCCUAGUCUUUUUUUUUUCCCUCUCGUAGUCUCUCUCAAUAUUCCAAUUCUAGUUAAAAAAAAAAUGACUUAAUUGUAAACAAAGUGAAACAAGUCUGCCUAAAUUAUUAACAUUAAAAUUCAAGAGUUGGUCUAUGGCUGGUGGGCUUCCUAUUCUCAGUAAAAUCUCGGCUUGCAGCUUAGAUUUAGUUCGGUGGGGCUAUCAUCGUGCUCGGGAUUUCAAAGCUCAAAUUAAGAAGUGCAAGGAUAAAAUGCAUCAGCUUCGGGGCAAGCGUGAUGAAGUCAGCUUGACUGACUUUAUUGAAGCUCGAGAUAGGUACAAUGAGCUCUUGCAUAGCCACGAAGUUUAUUGGAAGCACCGUUCGAAGACGUUUUGGCUUCGGGAUGGGGAUUCAAACUCAAAGUUUUUCCAUGCCAUGGCCUCAACUAGGAAGUGUACGAAUACCUUAAUCAAGCUUCGCAAUCAAGAGGGGCAAUGGUGUACUAAUCCUGAGGAUGUAAAUAAUUUAAUUUGUGAGUAUUUCACAACUUUAUUUACUGCUGGGAUUUGUUCUUAUGGUGAUGUGCUUAAUUGUGUGGAAUCUAAAAUUACUGAUGCACAAAAUCAAUCUCUUUUGGAACCUUUUGCUGCUGAAGAUGUUCAAUCUGCCGUGUUUGAUAUGCAACCUGAUAAGUCCCCUGGUCCUGAUGGAAUGAACCCAGCAUUUUACCAAAAGUUUUGGAAUGUUGUGGGUACUGAUAUUACUGAGGCGUGUUUUAGGUUCAUUCGGGAUUGUUCUUUCCCUGAUGGGCUUAAUGAGACUUCUAUUGUCCUUAUUCCUAAGAAGAAACAAAUAGAGUUCUUAACUGAUGUUCGACCAAUUUCCUUAUGCAAUGUCCUCUAUAAAAUUGUAGCCAAGAUGCUUGCUAACCGUAUGAAGAUGGUUUUAGGAUCGAUAAUUUCCGAUUCUCAGAGUGCUUUUGUUCCAGGCAGAGCUAUUGCGGAUAAUGUAUUAAUCUCGGCUGAGAUAAUGCACUUUCUUAAACGGAAACGUUAAGGAAAGGAAAGGAGGGGAUUGCUGCUUUAAAGAUCGACAUGUCCAAGGCUUAUGAUUGGAUUGAGUGGGGGUUUCUUAGAUCGAUUUUACUGAAGUUGGGCUUUGAUGUUGGUUGGGUGAAUCUUAUUAUGCUAUGUGUCACUACAGUUACCUAUAAGAUUACCCUGGAAGAGUUGGAGCUGGGCCCUAUCGUGCCAAGUCGAGGUCUUAGACAAGGAGAUCCGCUAUCGCCAUAUCUGUUUAUCAUCUGUGCAGAGGGGCUGAGUUUGCUGAUAAAUCACUAUAAGAGGGCUGGGAUGAUCCAUGGGGCUCGAGUUGCUAGAGGUGCUCCUUUGGUUUCUCACCUCUUUUUUGCUGAUGACUGUUUUCUUUUCUUUAAAGCUACUGUUCAUGAGGCUCACCUGGUAAAAAAGAUUUUGGCAACUUAUGAAGCAGCUUCGGGGCAGCAAGUGAACUACAAUAAAUCCUCAGUUUCUUUCAGUAGGAAUAUGGUCGAGGAUACUAUUCAUAAUAUCUGUCAACAGCUUGGAGUUGUAGCUACUACAGACCAUGGUACCUAUCUUGGAUUACCAUCAUAUGUUGGGCACAAGAAAAUAGACAUUUUCAGAUACAUAAAGGAUAAAGUUUGGCAAAGAAUUCAAGGGUGGCAUCAGAAACUCCUCUCUAGAGCUGGAAAGGAAAUCUUAAUUAAAAUUGUGGCACAAGCCAUACUUAAUUAUGCUAUGCAAGUUUACCUCCUCCCUCUCGACCUUUGCCGGGAUCUUGGAAGGAUGAUGAAUUCUUUUUGGUGGGGUAGUAAAAGAUACGAUAGUGGUGGAAUUAAGUGGAUGCAGUGGGGCAGACUUUGUAAGCCCAAAUCUUAUGGUGGUAUUGGAUUUAAACACAUUCAUAAAUUUAAUGUUGCUAUACUAGGGAGACAAGGCUGGAGGUUAAUUACAAAUCCAUCUUCGCUGGUGGGCAGAUUGUUUAAAGCAUGGUAUUAUCCUAAUGCAGAUUUCACUCAAGCAAAGUUGGGAAGUAAUCCGAGUUAUGCAUGGCAAUCGAUUUUGGCUGCUCAGAAGAUUUUAAUCCAAGGGAGUCGUGUCCAAGUUGGGAAUGGGCAGAGCAUUACUAUUGGCUCGGUUCCCUGGUUGCCUGAUCAGGAGAGUGGCUUUAUUACAACUAAUCUUCCAGCGAUGUUAGCAUCAGCUCCUGUGAGUAGUCUUAUGAUUCCUAAUCACCGAAUGUGGGAUUAUGACCUUGUAAAGGAUGUGUUCAACAGAAGAGAUCAAGACUGCAUUCUCCAAAUUCCUCUUAGCUCUCGGAGUAAUUGUGAUACUUGGUAUUGGCUCCCCGACGCAAAAGGAAUUUACACUGUUCGGAGCUGUUAUAAGUGGAUGGAUAUUAUAUCGGAACCGCCUGGCAGUGGAGUUUGGAGUAAGAUUUGGAAGCUGGCUGUGCCCGCCAAAAUCAAGAAUUUUCUUUGGAGAGCUGUGGCAAAUGUGGUUCCCACUGCUGAUAACCUUCUUAGUCGUCGAGUCGAGGUACACCCUUAUUGUACUAUCUGUAAUGCAUCUCUUGAGACAACUUAUCAUGUCUUAGUUGAUUGUCCUUUUGCCAAACAAUGCUGGAUGGUUUCCUUGGUUGGCUUUGCUAGAAAUUUUGUUAAUUUUGGAGCUUGGUUGGAUGCUCUAUUUAUUCGGUGUAGUAUUGAGGAUAGUUGUCUUGCUGCAAUGGUUUGUUGGGGUCUUUGGCAGAAUCAGAAUAAUAAAGUUUGGAACCAUGUAGUAGGCAAAGUGUCUCAAGUGCUCAAUAAAGCUGGUCAAGAUGUUCCAAUGGCAAAAGGCUCGUCAACUGAGUCACUUUACUCAGAUGCCAGCAGAUUUAACUCUUGGCUCUGUUUGCUGGAAACGCCCUCGCUUUGGAUGGUUUAAAUGCAAUGUGGGCGCUGCCACUUCCCGAGCUACUGCUAGGAUAAGCUACGGCGCAGUUAUUCGGUCUUCUGAGGGUAACUUUCUUGCUGCAAAAUGUGGUUCUUUGAUUGGAAUUUUUGAAGCUCGCGAGGCAGAGGCUUUGGGUGUGCGAGAGGUCUUGAGUUAGCUUAAGAACACCCAGUUUUUUCCUAUUAUUAUUGAGACUGAUUGUUUAUAAGUUUUUAAUGCUUUGAUUGACUCCAAGGACUAUCAGAACGGCUUUGGUCUUAUUAUUUCGGAUUGUAGAGCCUUGGCUCAUUGCUUAAAAUAGAUGACUUUCUCUUUUGUAAGGAGAUCUGCGAAUACUGCUGCCCAUAUUGUGGCUAAGGUGGAGUGUUCUUUGUCAGGUCCGAGUGAAUGGAGACAUGUUCCACCACCCUGGUUAUUUUCUCAUUUGUCUAUUUAAUGAAUUUCUUCUUUCUUCAAAAAAAAAAAGAGUCAAGACUAAUCAUUUUAGAGGCUAUUAGAGAAAAAAGAUUUGAAGAGGAGUCAUGUUAAAAAAUAUAAAUAAUACAUCAUACAAGAUCCUUAAACAUUAUUUGAUAUGUCAUUACAUUUAUAAAUGGCAAGUCAUUCAAUUUUCACUCUAGAGUAAAGAUUAUACAAAAUGUUAUCUGCCAUAAAACUAUAAACGACAUAUACCGUAUCUGAUGAAUUUCAGACAAGUAAUUUAACUCCAAGUAAGAAUCAACAACAUUUUACCUAUUUAGUAUCUUAAUUUCUUUUGAAUUCCAAUUGAUGUGACAUUUAUUUAUUAGAUGGUAAAUUAAAAAUUUCGUAAGUUAUGAAGUUCAUCAUAAUGAGUGUCAUAUAAUAUUAAGAGUCAUGUUGAAACUCAAAUAUUAAAACCCCUAACUUAGCUAAGUAACAUAAAAUUUAGAAACUCAUUAAAUAUGCAUAAAUGUUUAUAAUUAACUUAUUUUGCAGCUAAUUUUUCCAACUUGAAAACAUGUUAAUUCCAAAGGUCCCUUGAGAUGAAGAUUCCUAAUUUCACCUUAACCUUGGUGUGACAGUAAGCUUGACUUGAUAUCCUUAAAUGGUUAAACAACUAGAGCCUAUCAAAAUUAAUAGAACAAGUGUGAAAUACCUUCUCAAUAUACUGAAAUGAAUUCCUACCACUACAAAAUUUUAUAAUUCUCAUUGAAAUUAAAAAUCCCAAAAAUUUAACAAUAAUUCUUAAGACUUUGAAAACGAAUGAGCGGGAAACACUGAAACUUCAUACACAAAAUUCAAGUGCUUGUAGGUAUCUAAAAGUAUAAUAGCAGAUUAAGAAUGGGAUAGACUUCAUGGGCGAACUGGAACUCCAAUGGCUGGGCGUGGCGCUUGACCAGGCUGACCAGGCUUUGGCAAAUCAUCCUGAAAAGAAAAAGGGCAAAAAAAAAAAGAAAAAAUAUAUAUAAGAGCCAAUGAAGAAAAUUUUCAAGUACGCGAGCACAAACGAAUACCAUAUAAAACUGACAAGCUUAACCAUUUUUCAAAUGCUACAGAUAUCACACAGCAAUUAUCCCAAGACCAAAAACACAUCCUCAAUUUGGGCUUUUAGUUCUUGUAAAACAAAGGAAAAAGCUACCACACACAGACACAACACUGUCUCCUUUUUUUCCUCUUUCCUCCCGCACCACCCCUCCCCCCUUUCUCUUAGGUUAACUCAGAAUUAUGCAUUUUUAACAGGCUGAAUCAGGAUAUUACUACUAGCAAGGAAAUACUUAUGAUAAAGCACACUAGGUAAAAGGUCUAUCUGCCUACGUCUAUAACCCGUAAAUCACUCUAAAAAUCAAUAUGAACAGAGACCAUUAGCCAAAACCCAGAUUAAAAAAUCUCAAUAGAAACAUGAAAAAGAUACCCUGCAUCUCAUAAAACGCUUUGGUGGUUCACGGUUCCUGCGGUCAGUGCGUGAGUGAACCCUCACCACAUGCGAGUGAAUUGCACCAGAGACACACUACUGCAUCUUUGCAUACAACUUAGGCAGAACAUAGUCUGGAUCAAAUACAAAAGAUUCUCAUUAUUUCCCAUUCAAACAAUACAUAAUUAAUUACAAAAUAAGAGAAAUAAUAACAUGUGUGGCAGAUAUUUACUGUCAUAGAUGCAGGCAUCCUGCACGUCUCUAACAGCAGCUUGCUCAACAAUGUUCCUCACAAGGAAUCUCUUAAUGGCCUUGUCCUUUUCAUCCAUUCACAACCCAAAAUAAAAAAAAAAAAAUGUGUCAAAUUACAACAAACAAAAGGCAUAUUAAUUAAUUUUUAAAUGCAAACUUAACAUCAUUACAACAACUCUAGUCUAAUCUAACUGUAUGAUUUGACCAAUACAUCCGCAAAAUUUAUCAUGACACAAGUUUACAAAAAUAUGGAAGAAUUGAAAAAAUGAUUCUUCUUUCCCGUAAUGCCACACAAUUGCCUCAUUUGGGAGGGAAAAAUUCUCAAUGUCGUUCAUUUUUAUCAAAAAAAAAAAAAAAAACAGGGAAACAUAUAAUACUAAUAAUAAAAAAACAGAUACAAUUUUAAUUAAUGAAAGCGAUACAAAAAUAAAAACAAAAGUGUAUAUUUUGGGGCAGCAUUUGCCGUUCCGACGCUCGAAGGUCUGCCACAGAAAAAAAUAAAUAUAAUAAAUCAAAUUUAUAUUAAAUAAAAACAAUUCUUCUUUUUUCAAUAAUAAUAUUUUUGGAAAUCAGAAAGAUAAAACAUUUUCGCAAACCAUUCUGUUUUCUUCAAGGGAUGAUCUCCCCUUUCCAAUUUUUGACAACCACGCCUAACCCAAUCAUCAUUUCUUCUGAAGUUGACAUUGCUGCAUGAGUAAAAAGGAAUAUUGAAAUUGAAUUAAUAAUUUGGAAGAAUAUCAUAACGCAAUUAAACAAAAACUGAAUAUUUUAUCUUUCCUACUCUCUCAAUAAUUUUGACUGCAUACUUUUUCUGAAAAAAAAAAAAAAAAACUCAUAUCUAGAUUCAGUCACAAAGCCAAAUCUCUCUAAUCAUACGUCUAUAUUAAGAAACACAAAUAAGAGAUUCCAAGAACUUGGUAACACCCUUUUGGAAUAAUUGAUUCUGGAUUUUCAUACUUGGAUAAUGGCUUUUGCUUGGAUACCUCUCCAAUCACUCCAACCCUUUCACACAAUUGAUUGAAUUUCACUUGCUUGAUUUAUAUUACAUCGAGAUUUUGAGCCCGGCAUGGUUAAGGAGUUUUAAAAGUGUAAAAAAUUGGGUGAUUGAAAAAUGAUAGAGCUGAAAAUGAGGGAAAAUUUAGAAUUAUGGGAAUUUUAUUGGGGAAGAAAAAGUAUUUUAAACUCAAUGAUGGGGUGAUUAAGAAAUAGACUGAAUAAAAAAUAAAAAGAAUUUGAAUACCAUCACUCAAAUUUAAUUGUUUAUUAUUAAAAACAUUAACCGAUGAUUUCUAUUUAUAGAAAUAAUAUUUAAGUCCCACAAAUUUUUUUAUUUUUAACUAUUUGUAUCUUUUUCUAAAACUUAUUAUACUCAUAAGAUAUCAAUAAUUAAUGUUCAAAAUGACUUUUUCUAAAUAUUAAAACAAUUAUUAUUAUUAUUAUUAUUAUUAUUAUUAUUAUUUGUUGUAAUAUAGUGGUAGGGACAAAAAUCUAAGGGUGAAAAAAAAAUUGGUAUUUAAUAGAAUUUUCUGUGGCUAUGAUGACCCCAGCAUUAUCUCCAACAUUAUCUCCAACCAUUUUAAAGGUUGAAAUUACAAGAGAAGUCGUAUCGUAUCAAUGUACUAUGUUUAUCACAAUUGUUUAGCAACCACCAAAUUGGCCGUAUAAAGUCGUUGAUGAAUCAGAAAAAGAUACCAUUGUCGAAAACUUGGCCAUUGUGGUCCCUGAUGUAUAAAACUGACCAUAGGAUUAGCAAAGGUUUGUCAAUGAGCAGAACUUACGUUCACGUCAAGCACACUUAAAUGUUAUCUAUAUACUGUAUAGACAUUGCUCUGAACUAAACUCUUGAUUCAGAGUCCCCGAGUCGGCUGCAAAGGAAUGGCCAUGAAUAAUCUUUCAACAGAAUCGACUGCUGCUGUAGCAAUUUCAGCCUUAGUGAUAUUCCUCUCAAUUUUCCUCUUGAUUUCAAGAAAUGGGCGAAAAAGGACACUCAAGAAUAAGCAACGAGCACCAGUUGCAGGGGGAGCAUGGCCUUUGAUAGGCCACCUACAUCUCUUACAAGGGCCAGAGCCAGCUCACAGAGUUUUGGGGCGACCUGCAAAAGCUUUGUCAUUUGUGGUAAAACACUCCUUAGCAAUUUUCCAGUUGCUCACCACUAAAGCUUGUAUCACCCCCAAUUUCAUAGUGAAUAUUUGGGCAACCUGGCUGACAAAUAUGGAACAAUAUUCACUAUGAAGUUGGGGGUGAAACAAACUUUAGUGGUGAGUAACUGGAAAAUUGCUAAGGAGUGUUUUACCACAAAUGACAAAGCUUUUGCAGGUCGCCCCAAAACAAUGGCCGUAGAGCUUAUGGGGUACAACUUUUCGGUCAUAGGCUUCGCGCCAUAUGGCAAGUACUGGCGUCAGUCACGUAAGAUAGUGACAAUUGAGCUUCUGUCAAAUCGUCGCCUUGAGAAGCUCAAACACGUACGUGAAUCUGAAGUGAAGGCUUCAAUCCAGAGGUUAUACAAGAAUUGCAUAAGUAGCAGCAGUUCACGUAAAGUAGUUUCGGUGGAGAUGAUCCAUUGGCUCGAGGGCACAGUACUUGACAUUAUUUUGAGAAUAAUUGCCGGAAAACGUCACACUUCACAAUCAGAAGAGGCUAAUGAUUGGCAACAGCAAAUAACAAAGAUCGCUACCUUUUUUGGUCAGUUCGUGGUGUCCGAUGCGUUGCCAUUUCUGAGACGGUUAGAUAUCGGUGGAUAUGAGAGAUUAAUGAGCAUGACAGCUAAAUAUUGCGACAUCAUUUUGCAAGAAUGGGUGGAUGAGCACAAGAUGAAAAGAGUUUCUGGUGAAGUCAAGGGCGACGAGGAUUUCAUAUAUGUGUUGUUGUCCUUGCUUGAUGAUAAUGCAGAGCAGCUUCCUGAUCGCGAUGCUGACACUGUCAUUAAAGCAAUCUGCUUGGUAUAAUAUAACCUCGUGAAAAGCUUGUGGUGUGUUUGUGUUGUAUUGUUAUACGAAUGUCACAGAUUUCUUACUGCUUUUAAUUUGCAGACUCUAAUCGUAGGGGCUGCAGAGACCACAGUAGUUACAUUGACAUGAGCUAUUGCUUUACUUCUCAACAAUCCCGAGGUUCUGAAGAAGGCACAAGAUGAAUUAGACAUUCAGGUUGGUACUGAAAGGCCAGUGAAUGAAUCAGACACGAGAAAUUUGGUUUACUUGCAGGCCAUUAUCAAGGAAACGAUGCGUUUAUACCCUGCUGCACCACUAUUAGUACCUCACGAGUCUAUAGAAGAAUCCGUCGUCAAUGGUUACCACGUCCCUGCAGGCACCCAACUGUUUGUUAACGCCUGGAAGAUUCAACGCGAUCCAUGUGUUUGGGAGGAGCCAUGUCAAUUUCAGCCAGAAAGAUUUCUUACUAGGCAUAAGGAUAUUGAUGUUGGGGGACAAGAUUUUGAAUUGAUACCAUUUGGGAGUGGAAGAAGAAUGUGUCCUGCAGUGUCAUUUGGCCUCCAAGUUAUGCAGCUAAUGCUUGCUUCAAUAGUGCAUGGGUUUGAUUUUACAACCCCAUCAGAUGAACCGGUUGACAUGGGAGAGGCAAUGGGCCUGACCAUUGCUAAGGCUACUCCACUUGAAGUGCUUGUUAGUCCGCGCCUUUAUGCUUCUUUAUAUGGUUAAAAUUAGCUUGUGUAGUUGUUAAUGCAAAUAAUUAAGUUGUUCUUUUCAACAACUUAGUGAUAAGAUGCGUUUAUAUCAUUGGGUGUCAUCACUGUGCGUUUAGCACACUGCAUUACGUUAAAGGUGAGUUUGGCAUAUUAUACUACAUUGUAUUAUUUAACAUUUAGUAAGUUGCUUUUGACUGUAUUAUAUUAACAUUAUUUAUAUUAUGAUAAAGCACACUAGGUAAAAGGUCUAUCUGCCUACGUCUAUGACCCGUAAAUCACUCUAAAAAUCAAUAUGAACAGAGACCAUUAGCCAAACCCAGAUUAAAAAAUCUCAAUAGAAACAUGAAAAAUAUACGCUGCAUCUCAUAAAACGCUUUGGUGGUUCACGGUUCCUGCGGUCAGUGCGUGAGCGAACCCUCACCACAUGCGAGUGAAUUGCACAGGAGACACAGUACUGCAUCUUUGCAUACAACUUAGUCAGACAUAGUCUGGAUCAAAUACAAAAGAUUCCCAUUAUUUCCCAUUCAAACAAUACAUAAUUAAUUACAAAAUAAGAGAAAUAAUAACAUGUGUAGUAGAUAUUUACUAUCAUAGAUGCAGGCAUCCUGCACGUCUCUGACAGCAGCUUGCUCAACAAUGUUCCUCACAAGGAACCUCUUGAUGGCCUUGUCCUUUUCAUCCAUUCACAACCCAAAAUUUAAAAAAAAAAAAAAAAAUUGUGUCAAACUACAACAAACAAAAGGCAUAUAAAUUAAUUUUUAAAUGCAAACUUAACAUCAUUAAUUUUUAGUAACUUGGAAGUGAGAAGACGGAAUAAUUAAAUAAUAUUUGUGUUAUAAGAUAUGAUAAAAAUCAGAUGUCUAAUUGUAACUGGUAUUCCUAACCAUCGUGGUAGCGGGGAUGCGCGGAUACCAAUAAACAACUCUAGUCUAGUCUAACUGUAUGAUUUGACCAAUACAUCCGCAAAAUUUAUCAUGACACGAUUUUACAAAAAUAUGGAAGAACUGAAAAAAUGAAUCUUCUUUCCCGUAAUGCCACGCAAUUGCCUCAUUUGGGAGGGAAAAUUUCUCAAUGUUGUUCAUUUUUAUCAAAAUAAACAAAAAAAAGGGAAUCAUAUAAUACUAAUAAUAAAAAAACAGAUACAAUUUUAAUUAAUGAAAGCGAUACAAAAAUAAAAACAAAAGUGUAUACUUUGGGGCAGCAUUUGCCGUUCCGACGCUUGAAGGUCUGCCACAGAAAAAAAUAAAUAUAAUAAAUCAAAUUUAUAUUAAAUAAAAACAAUUCUUCUUUUUUCGAUAAUAAUAUUUUUGGAAAUCAGAAAGAUAAAACAUUUUCGCAAACCAUUCUGUUUUCACACAAAGCUAAUCAGAAAGAUAAAAUAUUUUUGACAACCACGCCUAACCCAAUCAUCAUUUCUUCUGAAGUUGACAUUGCUGCAUGAGUAAAAAAGAAUAUUGAAAUUGAAUUAUUAAUUUGGAAGAAUAUCAUAACGUAAUUAAACAAAAAACUGAAUAUUUUAUCUUUCCUACUCUCUCAAUAAUUUUGACUGCAUAAUUUUUCUGAAAAAAAAAAAAAAAAAAAAACUCAUAUCUAGAUUCAGUCACAAAGCCAAAUCUCUCUAAUCAUACCUCUAUAUUAAGAAACACAAAUAAGAGAUUCCAAGAACUUGUUAACACCCUUUUGGAAUGAUUGAUUCUAAGGGUGAAAAAAAAAAAAUUGGUAUUUAAUAGAAUUUUCGUAAUGACAAAAAGGAAAUGGACCCAAGUGAUAAAACAAUAUAAUUGAUGGACAAAAGAUCAUUUUUUAUUUGUGUUGCUGACACCGUAGUUUUGUUUACGCUUCCCGACCCAUAAUAUUCAAGUGCAGGUACUUUUGUCAUCCCAUAUAAAGUAAAUGAAGUUUACCAAGUCAAAAAGGUAGCUUUAAUCUUCAAGCAAUACAGCUGCAAAUUUCGAGUUUUCAAACUUUGAAUUUAUUUUUUUCUUUUUCAAACAUCCGGUACCUACCCUUGACAUAUUUUCCUCUCAAUUUUUUUUAUUCUUCCUCUGUUGUCUUCUUUCUUCAUUUUCCUAUGCCCGGCAUUGACAAAGCACACUUAAAUGUUAUCUAUAUACUGUAUAGACAUUGCUCUGAACUAAACUCUUCAUUCAGAGUCCCCGAGUCGGCUGCAAAGGAUUGGCCAUGAAUAAUCUUUCAACAGAAUCGACUGCUGCUGUAGCAAUUUCAGCCUUAGUGAUAUUCCUCUCAAUUUUCCUCUUGAUUUCAAGAAAUGGGCAAAAAAGGACACUCAAGAAUAAGCAAGCUCAACAAGCACCGGUAGCAGGGGGAGCAUGGCCUUUGAUAGGCCACCUACAUCUCUUACGAGGGCCAGAGCCAGCUCACAGAGUUUUGGGCAACCUGGCUGACAAAUAUGGAACAAUAUUCACUAUGAAGUUGGGGGUGAGACAAGCUUUAGUGGUGAGCAACUGGGAAAUUGCUAAGGAGUGUUUUACCACAAAUGACAAAGCUUUUGCAAGUCGCCCCAAAAGAAUGGCCGUAGAGCUUAUGGGGUACAACUUUUCGGUCAUAGGCUUCGCGCCAUAUGGCAAGUACUGGCGUCAGUCACGUAAGAUAGUGACAAUUGAGCUUCUGUCAAAUCGUCGCCUUGAGAAGCUCAAACACGUACGUGAAUCUGAAGUGAAGGCUUCAAUCCAUAGGUUAUACAAGAAUUGCAUAAGUAGCAGCAGUUCACGUAAAGUAGUUUCCGUGGAGAUGAUCCAUUGGAUCGAGGGCACAGUACUUGACAUUCUUUUGAGAAUAAUUGCCGGAAAACGUCACACUUCACAAUCAGAAGAGGCUAAUGAUUGGCAACAGCAAAUAACAAAGAUCGCUGCCUUGUUUGGUCAGUUCGUGGUGUCCGAUGCGUUGCCCUUUCUGAGACGGUUAGAUAUCGGUGGAUAUAAGAGAUUAAUGAGCAAGACAGCUAAAUAUUUUGACAUUAUUUUGCAAGAAUGGUUGGAUGAGCACAAGAUGAAAAGAGUUUCUGGUGAAGUUAAGGGUGACGAGGAUUUCAUAUAUGUGUUGUUGUCCCUACUUGAUGAUAAUGCAGAGCAGCUUCCUGAUCGCGAUGCUGACACUGUCGUUAAAGCAAUCUGCUUGGUAUAAUAUAUCCUCAUGAAAAGCUUGUGGUGUGUUUGUGUUGUAUUGUUAUACGAAUGUCACAGAUUUCUUACUGCUUUUAAUUUGCAGAGUCUAAUCGUAGCGGGUACACAGACCACAGUAGUUACAUUGACAUGGGCUAUUGCUUUACUUCUCAACAAUCCCGAGGUUCUGAAGAAGGCACAAGAUGAAAUAGACAUUCAGGUUGGUACUGAAAGGCCAGUGAAUGAAUCAGACACGAGAAAUUUGGUUUACUUGCAGGCCAUUAUCAAGGAAACAAUGCGUUUAUACCCUGCUGGACCACUUUUACUACCUCACGAGUGUAUAGAAGCAUGCAUCGUCAAUGGUUACCACGUCCCUGCAGGCACCCAACUGUUUGUUAACGCCUGGAAGAUUCAACGCGAUCCAUGUGUUUGGGAGGAGCCAUGUCAAUUUCAGCCAGAAAGAUUUCUUACUAGGCAUAAGGAUAUUGAUGUUGGGGGACAAGAUUUUGAAUUGAUACCAUUUGGCAGCGGAAGAAGGAUGUGUCCUGCAGUGUCAUAUGGCCUUCAAGUUAUGCAACUAAUGCUUGCUUCAUUAGUGCGUGGGUUUGAUUUUACAACCCCAUCAGGUGAACCGGUUGACAUGGGAGAGGCAAUGGGCCUAUCCAUUGCUAAAGCUACUCCACUUGAAGUGCUUCUUAGUCCGCGCCUUUCUGCCUCUUCAUAUGGUUAAAUUAGCUUGUGUACUUGUUAAUAUAAAUAAAUAAGUUGUACUUUUCAACAAUUUAGUGAUAAGGUGCGUUUAUAUAAGUGGAUGUCAUCAUCGUGUGUUUAUCACAUUGUAUUAUAUUAAAUGUGAGUUUGACAUAUUAUAUUACAUUGUAUUAUUUAACGUUUGGUAAGUUGCUUUUGAUUGUAUUAUGUUAACAUUAUAUUAUAUUAAUGCUGUAUAAUAUUUGGUACUAUACUGUACUAUAUUAAUUUUUAUUUAUCUUAUGUUUGGUGUUGCAUUGCAUUGCAUUAUAUUAAUUCUUUUGUUGAAAAUUUUAAAUUACAAGUUGGGAAAAAAUAUUAAUUAGUACUUAGAAAAAUGAUAAAAUAGAUGUUGUAAAUUUUAUAAUUUUUUACAUCAAUUAUAUUUUAGUAUAAAUGUAAAAAAUAUCACAAUUCUUUUGAACAUAUGUAAAAUUAAGAAAUUCUAAAAUUUUUGGUGUGUGUAUAUAUACACAUAGGAGCAGUUCUUAAAUAUAUAUUUUAUGAAAUAAAGAUUAAAGAAAAUAAUUCAAUCAAAUAAUCUCUAAAAAUUAUCAUAACAUAAAUAAAUAGAUAAAAGCCAUCUCAUGAUAAAGAUGACAACAAAAGCAUUUACAUAUACCACAACAAACUAGAACCCUAAUCACUAAAUAAAAUGGAUUGAACAAUGCACCAAACUCAGUUCAAUUUAUAGCUGGAGGCCGUUCUAAUUCUGUUGGUUCUUCCAGGGCUCUGGCUCACUGGUGGUGCCAUAAGCCCCCAUGGACGGGCCCUCUUCAUGAUGUUACACACAUCACAGAAAUUAAAUUCAGCUGAGAAGUGGGAUGGGUUGGUAAUGGCACAUGAACUGAUCUGGGAAAAAUUUUAUCGCGGAUGACAGAUGAAAGUGACCCCAGAUUGCCAUUUGGAUACAUCAAACUGGAUGAGAUUCCAUUCUUAUGUCAUUUAUUCUGCAUUGUUGUGUUGAAAUUCCAUGUAGCUGGUGAUUUUUCUAACUUCAUUAGAUGGCAAGCCGUGCAAAGAUUAAUUCUCCUUCCCUAGAGACCAUGAUGAGCGCCAUGCAAAAGGUAUUCUUGCAGUAGACUCUUUAAAGUGUUUAUUACAUACCAAGCCUUUGUGUCAUAUGAAGGAUUGAUAUUUGAUAUCUUGGGAAAGCUGUAAAAUAAGGCAGCUAUUCUUCCCUCAACUGGGCAUAAAGAAACGAUGUCCACAGCUCCAUUCUGCAUUUCCUUGUAUGACCAUGCCUAGUGACUAUUGCAGGAGGGAUACGUAGCCAGCAGGUCACACAUUGCUUCCAAUGCAAUCAAGACAAAUUGUCCCAUGGUAGUAUGCAUCAGGAUCGCCAAGGAACUGCAGGGCUGCCAGAAAACAUAGGCUAAGUGAUGUUGGUAUGGGGCAGCAGAAGCCAUGCCUAGCUUUUCCGGAAGCAAUCAGAAUUUAGCGAUGUAACUGCGUCUCCGUGGACAGGAGUUGAUUGCCCAUAUGCACCCAAGGGAUUUUUUUUUUUUUGGCCAACUGCAAGAUUUUGAACGAACGGAACGAAGGCCGCAAUGAAUUAUGAAAAGGGUGGAUUAAAAUGAUUUUAAUUAUACUGACUUGGAAGAAACCGAUUCCUGAGUUUCAGUAAAAAAUUAUGAAUUGAUUUUAAUAUGGUUUCAUACAAGGUAUACUUUGACGCAAUUAUCACCGAUUAACUAAUAUAACAUAAUUAAAUUUAAAUUCAUUUUGUUUAAAUAAAUCAAUACACAUCAUAGCUGAAAAUAUAGACUUAGGAUUCUUUCCUAGUCUUUUUUUUUCCCCUCUCGUAGUCUCUCUCAAUAUUCCAAUUCUAGUUAAAAAAAAAAACUUAAUUGUAAACAAAGUGAAACAAGUCUGCCUAAAUUAUUAACAUUAAAAUUCAAAAAAUUCAAGAGUCAAGACUACUCAUUUUAUUAAGAGAAGCUAGUAGAGAAAAAAGAUUCGAAGAUGAUUCACUUUAAAAAAUAUAAAUGAUACAUCAUACAAGAUCCUUAAACAUUAUCUGAUAUGUCAUUACAUUUAUAAAUGACAAGUCAUUCAAUUUUCACACUGGAGUAAAGAUUAUACAAAAUGUUAUCUGCCAUAAAACUAUAAACGACAUAUACCGUAUUUGAUGAAUUUCAGACAAGUAAUUUUACUCCAACUAAGAAUCAACAACAUUUUACCUAUUUAGUAUCUUAAUUUCUUUUGAAUUCCAACUGAUGUAACAUUUAUUUAUUAAAUGGUAAAUUAAAAAUUUCAUGAGUUAUGAAGUUCAUCAUAAUGAGUCAUAUAAUAUUGAGAGUAAAGUUGAAACUCAAAUAUUAAAACUCCUAAAUUAGCUAACAUAAAAUUAAGAAACUCAUUAAAUAUAUAUAAAUGUUUAUAAUUAACUUAUGGGAAAUUAUCAUUUUACUACUAAAAUUUUAUUGACAUAUCAUGUCAAUACCAAGAUUUGCCGAAAAGUACAUUUUACUACCAAAAUUUUGUGCCGUUAUUAAUUCACCACCAUUUCGUUAAGAAAAAGUUAAUGUUUAACGAAAAUUGAGUUAAAAAUCGAUUUUACCCCUAAGAGUUUGGUAGUAAAAUAAUAAUUCCCUUAAAAAUUUGAUAGUAAAAUGAUAUUUUAUCUAUCAAAUUAACAAACAAUUUUACUCUUACAACUGGAAAUGUCUUUGAUGCCCUUAUGACAUCAGCAAACUUUUAACGUUGUUAACAGAACGGUAGUGAAUUGAUAACGGCGCAAAACUUUAGUAGUAAAAUGUACUUUUCGGCAAACCUUGGUACUGACAUGAUAUGUCAGUAAAACUUUAGUAGUAAAAUGAUAAUAUCCCUUAACUUAUUUUGCAGCUAAUUUUUCCAACUUGAAAACAUGUUAAUUCCAAAGGUCCCUUAAGAUGAAGAUUGACAGUAAGCUUGACUUGAUAACCUUAAAAGGGUAAAAAACUAGAGCCUAUCAAACUUAAUGGAACAAGUGUGAAAUACCUUCUCAAUAUACUGAAAUGAAUUCCUACCACUACAAAAUUUUAUACUUCUCAUUGAAAUUAAAAAUCCCAAAAAUUUAACAAUAAUUCUUAAGACUUUGAAAAAGAAUAUGCGGGAAACACUGAAACUUCCUACACAAAAUUCAAGUGCUUGUAGGUAUCUAAAAGCAUAAUAGCAGAUUAAGAAUGGAAUAGACUUCAUGGGCGAACUGGAACUCCGAUGGCUGGGCGUGGCGCUUGACCAGGCUGACCAGGCUUUGGCAAAUCAUCCUGAAUGAAAAGGAAAAAAAGAAAAAGAAAACAAAAUAUAAGAGCCAAUGAAGAAAAUUUUCAAGUACGCGAGCACAAACGAAGACCAUAUAAAACUGACAAGCUUAACCAUUUUUCAAAUGCUACAGAUAUCACACAGCAACUAUCCCAAGACCAAAAACAUCCUCAAUUUGGUCUUUUAGUUCCCUGUAAAACAAAGGAAAAAUCUACCACACAGAGACAUAACACUGUCUCCCUUUUUUUCCUUUUUUCCCCCCUCUUAGGCUAACCCAGAAGUAAGCUUUUUUAACAGGCUGAAUGAGGAUAUUACUACUGGCAAGUAAAUCCUUGUGAUAGAACAGACUAGGUAAGUGGUCUAUCUGCCUACAUCUAUAAACCAUAAAUCAUUCUAAAAAUCAAUAUGAACAGAGACCAUUAGCCAAAACCCUGAUUAAAAAAUCUCAAUAGAAACAUGAAAAAGAUACCCUGCGUCUCAUAAAACGCUUUGGUGGUUCACGGUUCCUGCGGUCAGUGCGUGAGCGAACCCUCACCACAUGCGAGUGAAUUGCACAGGAGACACAGUACUGCAUCUUUGCAUACAACUUAGGCAGAACAUAGUCUGCAUCAAAUUCAAAAGAUUCCCAUUAUUUCCCAUUCAAACAAUACAUAAUUAAUUACAAAAUAAGAGAAAUAAUAACAUCUGUAGUAGAUAUUUACUAUCAUAGAUGCAGGCAUCCUGCACGUCUCUGACAGCAGCUUGCUCAACAAUGUUCCUCACAAGGAACCUCUUGAUUGCCUUGUCCUUUUCAUCCAUUCACAACCCAAAAUUAAAACCAAAAAAAAAAAGUGUCAAAUUACAACAAACAAAAGGCAUAUAAAUUAAUUUUUAAAUGCAAACUUAACAUCAUUACAACAACUCUAGUCUAACUGAAUGACUUGACCAAUACAUCCGCAAAAUUUAUCAUGACACAAGUUUACAAAAAUAUGGAAGAACUGAAAAAAUGAAUCUUCUUUCCCAUAAUUCCACACAAUUGCCUCAUUUGGGAGGGCAAAAUUCUCAAUGUUCUUGAUUUUUAUCAAAAUGAACAAAACAAAACAGGGAAUCAUAUAAUACUAAUAAUAAUAAAAAAUACAAUUUUAGUUAAUUAAAGCGAUAUAAAAAUAAAAAUAAAAGUGCAUACUUUGGGGCAGCAUUUGCCGCAGUUGGAGCAGCGGAUGAAGUUGACGUGGCCACGGCCGUGCUUGUUGCGGCCGCCGUUCCGGCGCUUGAAGGUCUGUCACAGAAAAAAUUAAUAUAAUAUAUCAAAUUUAUAUUAAAUAAAAAAAAAUUCUUUUUUUUUCAAUAAUAAUAUUUUUGGAAAUCAGAAAGAUAAAAUAUUUUGGCAAACCAUUCUGUUUUUUUCAAGGGAUGAAGGCGGCGACUGGCGAGAUUUGGUUGUUUGCUCGACUCAAAGUGCGGCAGGGCUUCCAAAAGUACAAUUUACAUGGCACCUUUAUAUGGAGGAGUGACUUUCAAUAAUUCGGAAUUGAGGCCUCGUUUUUAUAAUAUUUUCACAUUGCCCCUUUUAUAUUGGAUGGUUAGGAACGGAUUAUGAUUAUAGAUAAGUAAAUUCGGACGGAUAGUUUGAGACUUAACGAGAUAAUGAUAGAUUUAAAAAAAAAAUUAAAAUUCUAUCAGAUUUUAUAUAGGUAAAUAAUUAUUUAUAUUUCUAAAAAUUUAGUGAAUAGUUAUAUUUGACCCCUUUUUAUUUUUCUCGCCAACCUCCAUUACUCAGUUAACCAUAUCAUAAAUUUUUAAAUAACUUUCUAUCUCUCAACAUAAUUCAAUACUCCUAAUAUACCAUUAGUCGAGGCCCAUUGUGAUCUUCAGAUACCAGAUGAUUUAAUACACCGAAAAAAAAUAUAUAUCAUUAUCAUAAGCUCAAUCCUUUUACACACACUCUUUCAACUUCUGCCAACUCUACAUCUCCAGCAAAAGCAGUAGUGAUGAUCUCCCCUUUGCAAUUUUUGACAACCAUGUCUAAGCCCAACCAUCAUUCCUUCUGAAGUUGAGAUUGCUGCACGAGUGAAAAAGAAUAUUGAAAUUGAAUUAUUAAUUUGGAAGAAUUUCACAACACAAUUAAACAAUAAUUGAAUAUAUUUGAGUCAUUUGACCGUAUUUUUUUUGUUAAAAAAACCCAUAUCUAGGUUCAGUUACAAAAGCCAAAUCUCUCUAAUCAUGUGUCUAGAUUCAAGGACCACAAACAAGAGAUUCCAAGAACUUGUUAACACCCUUUUAGAAAACUUGAUUUUGGAUUUUCAUGCUUGGACAAUGGCUUCUUGGAUUCCUCUCCAAUGACUCCAAUUUUGUCAUACAAUUGAUUGAAAUUGAAUGGCACAUGCUCGAUUGAUACUCUCAAGUCUUAUCGAGAUUUUGAGCCCGGCAUAGUUGAGGAGUUUUAUAAGUUUAAAAAAUGGGGUGGCUGAAAAAUAGGCUGAUGAAGAAUUUAAACAAAAAAUAAUAAUUCGAAUAUCACUCAAAUUUAAUUCUUUUUUAUUUAAAAAAACAAAAAAAAAACUGAUGAUUUUUAUUUAAAAGAAUAAUAUUUAAGUCCCUCAAGUUUUUUAUUUUUAACUAUUUGUAUCUUUUCUUUAAAAUUUAUUAUACUCAUAAGAUAUCAACAGUCAAUAUUCAAAAUAACUUUUUCUAAAUAUCAAAACAAUCAUCAUCAUCAUUAUUAUUAUUAUUUCGUGUAAUAUAGUUAUAGGGACAAAAAUCUAAGGGUGAAAUAAAAGUGGUAUUUAUAGAAUUUAUAUAAUGACAAAAGCCAAGUGGACCCAAGUGAUAAAACUGUUUAAUUGAUGGACAGAAGAUCAAUUUUCUUUUGUGUUGCCGACACCACAGUUUGGUUUACGCUUCCCGACCCAUGAUAUAGGAGAAGUCUAUGUUACAGCUUCUGUAAGUAGCAGCAGCCAAUAGGGAACUUCCACGGGUGCAAGGUGAUGGAAAUGGGAAAGUUCGAAGCUGUUACUUGCAGCUUCUGCACCUUAGCCAUGUCCUGAUAUUCAGGACCAUGCACUUUUGUCAUCCCAGACAAUUUUUCAUAAUUAAAACAAAACAAGUGCUGCGUCCUGUGGCUGAUAUUUAGAGCAAAUGAAGUUUACCAAGUCCUCCCAUGAAAAUAUCAUAUCCCACCAUUAUCUCCAACCAUUUUAAAGGUUGAAAUUACAAGAGAAGUCGUAUCGUAUCUAUGUACUAUACUACUAUGUUUGUCACAAUUGUUUGGCAACCUCCAAAUUGGCCGUAUAAAGUCAUUGAUUAAUCAGAAAAAAAUACCAUUGUCGAAAACUUCGCCAUUGUGGCCCCUGAUGUAUAAAACUGACCAUAGGAUUAGCAAAGGUUUGUCAGCUAGCGGAACCUACGUGUACGUCACGUACACUUAAAUGUUAUCUAUAUACUGUGUAGGCAUUGCUCUGAGCUAACCUCUUCAUUCAAAGUCCCCGAGUCAGCUGCAAAGGAAUGGCCAUGAAUAAUCUUUCAACAGAAUCAACUGUUGCUGCAGCAAUUUCAGCCUUAGUGAUAUUCCUCUCAAUUUUCCUAUUGAUUUCAAGAAAUGGGCAAAAAAGGACACUCAAGAAGAAGCAAGCUCAACAAGCGCCGGGAGCAGGGGGAGCAUGGCCUUUGAUAGGCCACCUAUAUCUCUUACGACGGCCAGAGCCAGCUCACAGAGUUUUGGGCAACAUGGCUGACAAAUAUGGACCGAUAUUCACUAUGAAAUUGGGAGUGAAGCAAGCUUUAGUGGUGAGCAACUGGGAAAUUGCCAAGGAGUGUUUUACCACAAACGACAAAGCUUUUGCAGGUCGCCCCAAAACAAUGGCCAUGGAGCUUUU